rnacentral:rRNA from 1 species
GGCGAACGGGUGAGUAAUGCAUCGGAACGUGCCCAGUCGUGGGGGAUAACUGCUCGAAAGAGCAGCUAAUACCGCAUACGACCUGAGGGUGAAAGCGGGGGACCGUAAGGCCUCGCGCGAUUGGAGCGGCCGAUGUCAGAUUAGCUAGUUGGUGGGGUAAAGGCCUACCAAGGCAACGAUCUGUAGUUGGUCUGAGAGGACGACCAGCCACACUGGGACUGAGACACGGCCCAGACUCCUACGGGAGGCAGCAGUGGGGAAUUUUGGACAAUGGGCGCAAGCCUGAUCCAGCAAUGCCGCGUGCAGGAAGAAGGCCUUCGGGUUGUAAACUGCUUUUGUCAGGGAAGAAAUCUUCUGGGCUAAUACCCCGGGAGGAUGACGGUACCUGAAG